GUGAACGAGUGAACGUGUGUGUGUGUGUGUGUGUGAGAGAAACAGCAGCCGCAGAAAGCAGCAGAGAGCAGAACGGAAUACAGACGAGUGAAAAGAAGGAGAGAAGAGAGGAGGAGAAGAAAAGAAGAGAGGAGGAGAAGAGAAGAAGAAAGGAGAAGAGAGGAGGAGAAGAGAGACACACAAAGGAAAAGAGAGAGUGAGAGAGCAGGAGGAGGAGGAGGAGAUCGCUGGCAUGAACGUGCCCAGGUCAGAGUGAUUGACAGCUAGACGGGCCAGUGAGGAUGGACGUUAAGCAGGAGGCGCAGAACCUGCUGGAGAGGGUGUGGCUUAAGCUCAAGGGUCUGCCCAACGCCAGCGAGGUGGAACUGGCAGCCUUCUUCAUCAUCGUCAUCUUCAUGGUGAUGUUCCUGGUGAUGCUGAUAGGGGCGUGUUCACACAGCUGCUGCUGUGGAAGACGACGGCGUCGGAGCACCGUACCCUGAUUACCCACAAUCCUCUCUGCUCCUCUGGACAUGAUCCAUCUCCAACACACACACACACACACACACACACCCCUAGACAGGGCCUCCUAGAGAAGGCAUCAGCAUUCCAUCUGCUGCUCCUGCACCAAGCAACCAGCAACCACACAAUGAGGACCCCCUGUGUGUAUAUGUGUGUGUGUGUGUGUGUGUGUGUGUGAUAAAAAGAGAGUUCACUGGUCAUGAAUUUAGUCACACACACACACACAAUACAUAGAAGUACACACAAACAAAGAAACAAACAAAUAAACACACACACACACACACACACACACACACACAGACUCAGUUCACUCACAAGUAAAAAGGAUCUUCAAGAAUUAAAGCUUCUUAAAACAAAGUGUGUGUGUGUGUGUGUGUGUGUGUGUGUGUGUGUGUGGCCAUAUUCCCACGCUGGCACACGAAAACUGGACUGGAAAAGCUGACCUCAUCUCAAAAGACACCAACACACACACACACACAGCUUUUCUCCACAAAUGCCAAACCCUAAGACUGUGUUAGUACAGUACUAGACUGUGAGCGUCCUCUGCUGGACACUAAAGGACCUGCAGCCGCGAUUAAGAGCCUGAUGAUGACGAGGACGAUGAAGGAUUGUUACCACAGAGAUUAUACCUGCUUUAAAGACUUCUGAUACCAUGGAGUUGAAGAUGUAUACAAACAAAAGUUUAUAAGAUAUAAGAUGAACGUUAAAGUUUAUAAGAUGUAAGAUAAACGUUAAUGUUUAUAAGAUAAUUGAUGCAACUGUGUGAAGUGAUAAAUAUCUGACUAACUGAUAUGCCAGUUAAUGCUAUUAAUUAAACACACACAAACACCUUU